AAGGGAAAAAAGCUACUGCCCUUACAACAUAGAUGUGAAAUUAUUAACUGUUGUAUCACUAUUACUACAUAAUGCACAUCCUCUUGCAACUAAUGCUGAAAUCCCCUAGGCUCCUACUGCCAGCAAGAAGUCCAUGGACUAGUACAUUUUGUGACUUGUACAUGCACUGGGAGUCAUUUAUGUGCUACAGAGUUCAGCCUUUCUACAAAUCAUUCUUGCUCAUAUAACAUGAGUUAUAUUGAUAAUUUAACAUUUCUGUGGGCACCUAACAUGAUAGUUUUUCAAUCCUUU
rnacentral:misc_RNA from 1 species